rnacentral:rRNA from 1 species
UUACAUCUCUUCGGAGCAUUUUACGUAGGUGCUGCAUGGUUGUCGUCAGCUCGUGCCGUGAGGUGUCGGUUAAGUCCCAUAACGAGCGCAACCCUACCUUUACGUUGCCAUCAGGUAAUGCUGGGGACGUCUAAAGGAACUGCCUACGCAAGUAGUGAGGAAGGCGGGGAGUGACGUCAAAUCAGCACGGCCCUUACGUCCAGGGCUGCACACGUGCUACAAUGGCCGAUACAGAGGGCAGCUACCUGGUGACAGGAUGCAAAUCUCCAAAAGUCGGUCUCAGUUCGGAUCGGAGUCUGCAACCCGACUCCGUGAAGUUGGAUUCGCUAGUAAUCGCGCAUCAGCCAUGGCGCGGUGAAUACGUUCCCGGGCCUU